rnacentral:tRNA from 1 species
GGGGGGUUGCUUAGUGCUAAAACACUUGCCUAGCACACAUGAAGCCCUGGGUUCCAUCCCCAGUACCCCCCU